GCCGACGUAGUCCAAUCGGUAGAGACGUGACGUUCAGGACGUCAAGGUUGUGGGUUCGAAUCCCACCGUCGGCA
rfam:Chloroflexi bacterium 13_1_40CM_4_68_4 13_1_40cm_4_scaffold_393, whole genome shotgun sequence.